GAUGAACGCUGGCGGCGUGCCUAAUACAUGCAAGUCGAGCGAACGGACGAGAAGCUUGCUUCUCUGAUGUUAGCGGCGGACGGGUGAGUAACACGUGGAUAACCUACCUAUAAGACUGGGAUAACUUCGGGAGACCGGAGCUAAUACCGGAUGAUAUUUUGAACCGCAUGGUUCAAAAGUGAAAGACGGUCUUGCUGUCACUUAUAGAUGGAUCCGCGCUGCAUUAGCUAGUUGGUAAGGUAACGGCUUACCAAGGCAACGAUGCAUAGCCGACCUGAGAGGGUGAUCGGCCACACUGGAACUGAGACACGGUCCAGACUCCUACGGGAGGCAGCAGUAGGGAAUCUUCCGCAAUGGGCGAAAGCCUGACGGAGCAACGCCGCGUGAGUGAUGAAGGUCUUCGGAUCGUAAAACCCUGUUAUUAGGGAAGAACAUAUGUGUAAGUAACUGUGCACAUCUUGACGGUACCUAAUCAGAAAGCCACGGCUAACUACGUG
rnacentral:rRNA from 1 species